rnacentral:rRNA from 1 species
UACGUAGGUGGCAAGCGUUGUCCGGAUUUACUGGGCGUAAAGAGCGCGCAGGCGGUCGUUCAAGUCGAGUGUGAAGCCCCCGGCUCAACUGGGGAGGGUCACUCGAUACUGAUCGACUCGAAGGCAGAAGAGGGAAGCGGAAUUCCCGGUGUAGUGGUGAAAUGCGUAGAUAUCGGGAGGAACACCAGUGGCGAAGGCGGCUUUCUGGUCUGCUCUUGACGCUGAGGCGCGAAAGCUAGGGUAGCAAACGGG